rnacentral:misc_RNA from 1 species
GCAGCAGCAGCAGGAGGAGGAGGUUCUCAACAAUGUCCGAUGCGUUUUGCUCUGACUGCAAGCGUCAGACCGAGGUUGUUUUCGACCAUUCCGCCGGAGACACCGUGUGUUCCGAGUGUGGUCUUGUGCUUGAGUCCCACUCCAUCGAUGAGACCUCCGAGUGGAGGACUUUUGCCAAUGAGUCUGGGGAUAACGACCCGGUUCGUGUUGGUGGACCGACCAAUCCACUUUUGGCUGAUGGUGGGCUUUCAACCGUGAUUGCGAAGCCUAAUGGUACGACUGGGG